rnacentral:tRNA from 1 species
GCGGCGAUAGCGCAGGUGGUCAGAGCAGGUGCCUCAUAAGCAUUUGGUCACUGGUUCGAGUCCAGUUCGCCGCACCA